rnacentral:rRNA from 1 species
UGCUGCCUACGGGACGCAGCAGUGGGGGAUAUUGCACAAUGGGGGGAACCCUGAUGCAGCGACGCCGCAUGGGUAAAGGAGCGUUUCGGCGCGUAAAGCACCAUCCGCAGGGAAUCAGAUGACGGUCUCUGACCAAGAAGCCCCGGCUAACUACGUGCCAGCAGCCGACGUAAUACCUAGGGGGCAAGCGUUAUCCGGAUUUACUGGGUGUACACGCGGCGCAGACGGCAAUGCAAGCCAGGAGUGAAAGCCCGGGGCCCAACCCCGGGACUGCUCUUGGAACUGCA